UUUAGUGACUUCCAAAUUAAACUCAGUUUUGGGAUGUGGGUGUAUGUACAAAUGAGAAAUCUUACAUUCAAAGUUAUUUUUUCCUAAGGCAUUUACUACAUUAUCUUUUUCAUGUUUCUGCUGAUCAAAGUAUUACCUGUUUCGUUUAUCAUCUACUAAAACUUAAACCAUCUUAUUCUGUGACAAAAGCAUUUGAGAAAUAGUGGUCACAAUAUUCAAACUCCCAAAGCUAGAAUAUCAACAGAAAUCUGGAAGUGCCAAAAAAGACAGUUGGGGCAAAAAUACACACCAUUAAAACAGCAGCAAUAAUAGCACAAAGCUGAUAUAAGAGAAUAUCAUGAAACGUGGAAGAUCAGCAGCAAACCUAGUUAUCAUCCCAGGACUUUGGCUUAGUUAGCAACAGGGUCCCUGGGAUUAAGAGGGAAAGCUCUCCCUGAAGAAAGGCACCUCCAAAGAAAGGUUUCACAGGAGAACCCUCAGGGUUCUUUGUUGGGCUUUUCAAGCUUCUAAUUUUCAUGAGAAGGAGGGAUGCAAUGAACAGAAGACAGUCUAGAAACACAGAGGGAUCUAGAUAUUUAAGUUACUCUUCUAAAUCCUCUCUAGAAGCUAUUGCAAUACCAAGACGGACAGUAAAGAAUGAACCAACAGAAUUGGAACCCCGGGGGCUUCCAAGAAUUUUCAUGAGUGGGCACAAAGUGAUUGAAAUUUGUGGUCGGCCAGCUGUAUGUAGUUAUAUAGGGCUGAGUUCUCUGUUGUGUAUUAAGGAAUAUAAAUUGUGCAAUUUCUAUUCUAUUGCUGAACACAGAGGGAAAUGACCAUGAGCAGCUGUCUCUUGGGAAUAAUCUUGGGCCAAUAAUAAAAGCAUCCCGGUCCAUAUCACUUCCCUGUGCCAUCACUGCUGUAUGGCUUUCAGUGAAUAAACUCACAACCACCUUGUGAGGCAGUCACUAUCACUGUCCUCAUUGUACAGAUGAGGAAACGGGGGCUACAAGGGGGUAAGGAGUGUACCCUGGGUCACAGGGCUAAUAUACGCAGAGCUGGGAUUUGAAACCAGGCAUCCGGACUGCAGAGUCUGUGCCCUCCACCACUACACCGUGAGGCCCCCGCAGCACUUGUGAGUCUUAGAUGAUGUGAGCUCACAUUGCCAGCCCCUCCUCUUCAAGGCCCACACUUUCUCCUGUGGAUGACCUCUCUAAUGCCUUGGCAGCCAGGAGACUUGUAUGGAACUUGCUUGGUAAUGUCUGUUCACAAACUAUUCUGGGAUGAAUUUUAGGACCGUUCAGGUAGCCAAGAAUAGCAACCAAGAAUGGAACUUAGUUUUUAUAAUAAGGAGUAAGAACAAUAUUACGCUUUAGAAGUAUAGCUCAUGCCAAAUAUUUGAAGCCCUGAUAAGAAUUCUUAGCCUUGUGGUGGACAUCACCGAGAGAGGCAGAGCAAUCGAACUGCUGUUUCUGCACCAUUACUGACUCAGUCAGUCUCCUACACUCCUGAGGUGGCAGGUGCAGGGACAGAAUCACGGGGCUGGAGGGGCUUUAGAGCUCAGAAUGAAUGCAGUGCAGACCUCACAGUGCAGCAGAACACUUCUGUCUUGGGUUAGAGGUGAGGCAGUGGCCACUGAGCUGGAUGGAUCACUGGUUUCUACGAUUUCAUCCAGUUCUCUUCUCUGUGAUAUUCCAGCAUGUGCUUCUGAGGUCCCAAACAAAUCUGUGACCAGGCUGCUGUGAAUGAAGCUUUACUCCCACAGUAUUAUAAAAGCAAACACAAGCCCAGGGUCAAGUGCUUCUUUUGUUCCAGAAGUUCUUUCCCACGAGUUCAAUCCUGCCAUUAGCAUUGAUUUCCACAGCUUUAAUCUGGGACCUCCUAUCUCAGCUUGUUAAAGAACUGUUCAACUAUGACUUUCCUUUACUCUUGGGGGGGGGGGGUAUGAAAAGAGAAAGGUGAAAGGGGGUAAAAAUGAAGUCACCUACUUACCUUUACCCCCAGUUGCCUGAAGCAUCUUCAAAUGAUCUACCGUCAUUUGCAGUAUUUCAGCUUUCUCUAACUUUGCAGAUCCCUGCAUAAAUAAAUAAUAAAGUCUUAGAAGUUCUAUGGAAACUGAUUUGGAACAUUUUACGCUGGAUUCUCAGUUUUUCUUCUCACGAGAAAAUUCGAAGUUUAAUUGUUUUUCACAGAAACAUCGAGUUCUUUGCAAACUUUACGUGUAAACGAUAAUUACUAUGUCACGCCCAAUGACAGAUAUUUGCCAAUUUAUCUUUUAAAGAUGAAAAGGCCUAAAAAUAAAUUUUUAAUCAUAAGAAUAAUUAUAUUCCUAAGAUCACUAUGCUGAAACGAUUCUUGACAUUUGCAAAAAUCUCAAACCUUACAUCCAAUCUCUAUCCUGUAUUUCAUUAAGGGACUACCAAUAGUCUUAUAUAAUGUUGCAGUCUAGAUCAGUUGACUCUGACUCUGAAGGACAAGGAAACAGGACCUUUGUAAAUUAGAUUUUUUCAAAAAUAAAAAGUUCUAAUAAGUCUUUAAGGCACACCACUGGUAAGCAGACACAAAAAUAAAAAAGGGAAGUCUUUUAAGGGUUUUUUUUUUUUCCCAAAAAUUACCAGCAGGUGUCACUGUAAAUUCCAAGAUCAUAAACAAGAAAGCAUAAUUUACUACCUAUCUAGUAAGCAUCAGAAGUGCUUAAAGAUAUUUGAACUCUUUAAAAUAGUUCUUAAUGUCUUGGAAAUAGAUCUAUAUGUCCUACUUUUUAAAAUAAGGCAAUCUCUGGAAACCAGCUAAAAUACAAAUGUGCCACCUUGAACUGCCUCAGAGGACUGUGGGUGGCUUCUAAUUUCUUGGAAAAGCCAAAUAAUUAAAUCAAUAUGUCUUUUUGAAAAGGAAACUGAAGUUUUUUUCAGGUUCCUAUGCUCUACUUGUUUUGUGAAAAUUAUCAGCACCCUGUACAUGGUGAGAGUGCCAGAGUUAUUUAAGCUGCUAGAAAGAACACUCUUCUAAUCAUACUGUGACAGGGCCAGCUCACUAGGGUUGGUAGCCAAGCUUGGCAAAUGGGAAAGCCAGUGUUUAUGGUAACUAACUGCCAAACAACUGAGGUUUGCUUUUAAGGUUUGUUUUAAGUCGACAUUUAAGAAAAAAAAAAAAAAAAAAAAAAACUAACAAACUAAGGGGGGGAAAAAAUCACCAAACUGACUGUUCUUCAAAAUUGCAUGCAUCCCAGUCCUCAAAGUGAAAACACUGAUUUGUUCUGAUAUUUUCAUUUUCAGCCUAUUGUCAUUAAAAAUGCUACUAAUCAAAACUACAAAUUCCGCGUUACAUUUAGCUUACUAAAGUCAGCUGUAGCAUAUAGGUGUCUUUUUUCUCUCAAAAAUGUAUAAUCGAGAGCAUAGUACAUCUUGUACUUCUGUCAAUUUUCAAUAUUUCCAUGAAGAUGUAUAGUAGUUUCAGUGAAAGUGCCUAAUCACAAAAUUGCAGUUUCUGGAUAAUUUCCAAGGGCUUUGUAGGGCUUGCUGUAUGUUUGUGGUUCAUGAAGUAAACAAUGAAAUGAAAUAAACAAACAACUACCCUAUUUGAAUUAAAUUGAAAGUAUUUUCAAUGGCAUAUGAUGCCAUAGUCUUUGAAAGAUGCUCUUAGAAAUCUGUGCCAUUGUGGCAAGAGAUACAAAACUUUUCCAAAACGACAGAGGAAGAUUUAAACACUUGGCUUCUUCCUCUUCUAAGUGUGCAAAAUCUUUUUCUUUUUCUUUUUUUUUUUUUUUGGCAAAGGAAUACCUUGAAUUCUGAAAAAGGAAAUUUAUGGCUAGUUUUAUUUUUACCAAACUUCCAAAAGAAAAUGGUAUUCCCGAAUGGAAGAGCAUUCUAUUAAUCCAGGAAUUAAAAAUGAAACCAAGUGAUUUUGUAAAACAAAACAAAACUAAAACAAAAACCUCGUAUUAGUAUUAUCAUUUAGGAAAUAGAGCUAGAGAUGUUACUUCCUGGACUUUGGUUAUGUUUAAAAUCAAAAGCAGUUUUUUUUAACCGUUUGACACAAAAAUGAAAUUUCACAGGAUAUAUUUUUUAAAACAGUACGACGUACAGCUCAGUUUUAAACAAAACCACUACUGGUCUUCAUAGAAAGAACAGAGAAAGCAUGAACACUGUUACCCUUAAGGGAAAAAUAAGCUGAAGAAUGGAAAUGUUUUUCAACUUCAUGAUGGAUUAUGUUUUUAAUAGUUUUGCCACAACAAAGCAUUUUAUUGAAAUAGCUGCUCUGUGCCAGAUCAGGGCACAUACACCAUUAUUUUAAUGAGCUUUAACAAGAACCCACAUUCCCAGAUGAGAGAAUCAGAUUUUUUGAGCCUUUUGGUGGGGUGGUUAGGGGUGAGGGUAGCUUACUUGUUUUUCAAAAGCAGUUGGCACCAGUCGUCUCAACUCAGAUAAACUGUUAUUUAUCCGAUCUCGCCGCCUUUUCUCUAUUAUCUAUCCCAAAGGAAGCAAAACAACAACAAAAGUUUAUGAAGACACAAAUGAUAAAAUUACUCCUAAUGUUAGAAUACAACUGUUACACAUUAGGCUGGACUACAUGAAAUAAAAGGGAAAAAAAAAUCA